GUGCCAGCCGCCGCGGUAAUACGAGAGGUGCAAGCGUUAUUCGGAAUUAUUGGGCGUAAAGGGUGCGUAGGCGGUAUGAUAAGUCUGUUGUUAAAUAUCCUGGCUCAACCAGGAAAAUGCAAUGGAAACUAUUGUUCUAGAGGGUGAGAGAGAGAAGUGGAAUUCCAGGAGUUAGCGGUCAAAUGCGUAGAUCUCUGGAGGAACACCGAUGGCGAAGGCAGCUUCUUGGCUCAUUUCUGACGCUGAGGCACGAAAGCGUGGGGAGCAAACAGGAUUAGAAACCCCAGUAGUCC
rnacentral:rRNA from 1 species